rnacentral:ncRNA from 1 species
AGGAGCCGGGUGAAGGGAAACUUUCACGCCCGGUUUUGUUGGCGUAGCCUCCCUGACGGGAUGACGAGUCAGUGAGGCGACUCACUGGCUUAGUUUAAU